rnacentral:rRNA from 1 species
GGGGAGCAAUCCCCCCUAGAGCGGCGGACUGGUGAGUAACACGUGGGUGACCUGCCUUUGUCUUGGGGAUAGCCAUUAGAAAUAGUGGGUAAUACCGAAUACGCUUGCACACGUAGAGGUGUGUAAGGAAAGGCGCUACGGCGCCGGACGAAGAUGGGCCCGCGUCCCAUUAGCUAGUUGGUGAGGUAACGGCUCACCAAGGCGAUGAUGGGUAGGCGGCCUGAGAGGGUGUACGCCCACAUUGGGACUGAGAUACGGCCCAAACUCCUACGGGAGGCAGCAGCUAAGAAUAUUCCGCAAUGGACGAAAGUCUGACGGAGCGACGCCGCGUGGAUGACGAAGGCCGAAAGGUUGUAAAAUCCUUUUGCUGGGGAAGAAUAAGCAUGGGAGGGAAUGCCCGUGUGAUGACAUGAACCGGCGAAUAAGCCCCGGCUAACUACGUGCCAGCAGC